GGAGGAAGAAAAUUAUACAUUCAAUGAUAUCAAAAACAAAAUUGUUAUUUUGAGAAAAUUCAAUGUUCUGCUCAAAUUGGAACUGGAGCUGGAAGAUUGUGAAUUCUAUCUAGUUGUUCAUGAAUUGAAGAUCCUACCAGCGGAAACUGGUUUUUCUGAUGCAUGUUCAUGCAACUCGGACCCUGCUGUGCAGAAGAAGUUGAGAGAAUUCUGGCAAAACCAUGUGCAUAAUUUGACAGCGCAAUCAGGAUCAUUUUCUGGUAAGCUACCUCAACAUUUUCCCCCAUAUGCUGCAUUCCAAUAAUGUUUGAAUUUCUUUAAUUUUGGUAAAAUUAGAUUUUAAAAUGCGUUACGGCAAUUCUAAAAGUACUGGUGUACAGUUGUAGUAAAGAAACCUUUGCAAUGGAUCUUUAGUUUAAAAAAACUACAGAAUGUAGAGGAGACAAGCACUUUUUUUACAUACACAUGUUUUAGUUUGUAUUGGGGGUGAUUGUUUGGAAUUUUAAAGUUCAGCACCUGUAUAUACAGAUAUACCUAACAUUUAAAUGUGAAUUUUGAGUUCUUGACGUGAGGAAAUGCUGAUGCUGAGCAGUGGAACCAUUCCCUUGUCAGGCACCCAUCAAGUUCUUCCAAGUCAUAUAUAACACUGUUAGAUAGCCUAAUGAUAUACCUAGACCUGACCUUAGAUGAAUUUCCAUGACUGCACCACUGUAUCCAUUUUUUCCCUUUUUACACGCCGUCCUAUGACUUGUCCAGGGCAGGGUGUCAAUUAAUACCAACUUAGAGGCACUUCUAUGGUCUAUGAAAUGGCCCAAUUUCACGUACAACAGAGAAUUUUAUAUCAGUAAUAUAAUCCAAAUCUCAAGUGAACUACGUAGGUUACCACCUGAACCAACAAUAUAACUUGUUGGGAAAGUAAGUUGACUUAGUUAAGACCUGCUCACAUGGGUUGAGUUUGGUGCUGAGUGCAGGACCAUUCUUCCUUACCAGAAAUGAGGCAGAUAAACCAUUUCAUGUAUGUCUUCUACAUCUUGCAGCUGACUCAGAAAUUACAUUGCCUGAGGCCUUUUAGAAGGAUACUUGGCCAUCUGCUGAGGCAGAAAAAGUGCAUGAUGGCCUGCAAACAUGAUUUGUUUUUAAAAGGUAAAACUGAGGUCAUGUUUUAAAUGUUGUACUGGAGUGAGGCACUCUAAUAAUGCCAUAUGUUUUUUUUAUGGUAUGCAACUAGUAUUGUGAACAGUGGAAUUUGAAUCUUUUAAGGCUGCAAGAUAUUUCUGAAAAUUGCCACUUUUCUUCCCUCUUCUGAGGACACUGACUUGUGCUGGGUGUAAUUUCAAAGUCACUUGAAGCUAACCUUUACUGAUCCCGAAUGGAGAAUUCAACUACAGGGACAUUGCAAACUGGCUUGUUUCUGAUGUCAUCCACCUUCAUGCCAGCCUUGCUUUUGACAGUCGGGUUCGUUAGAAGGAUAUCCCCCUCAACAUUGUGCGAAAUUGUAGAAUUCUAACUUCUAAGAUUAGUUAAUUCAGAAACUAAAUUGGAUUCCUUUUAGCCUGUAUGGUUUAUUGCUCACAGAAUGUUUAUCCAGCUACUCUUUUUCUUAAAAAAAAAAUUCAGUAGUUAUUAAAAUUGAAGCCCAGAUUGACUUACAAACUGAACACGGAAAUUAACUUACAAGAUAAACUAGACAUGGACGGUUAACUUUCACAGAUUAUUAAUCUAAAUCAGUUUGUUGAAAAUCAAUUUAGAGCAUGACUUUGAAAUAAUGUUUCACAGAAUGUGAUAGUAAGUUUGAAUUUGCUUGUAGUAAGAUGCUAGUGUUUUCUCCAUUGUAGAAUAUUUUAUCUGGCUACUUUAACUGUUCAAGCUUUAAUUUUGAGAUGUAACAAAAGGUUUUAUCCCAAGAUCCUAAUUCCCUAUGGAACCAAGGUUUUAUAAUCUGGAGAAAUGAUUGUUCACUCUGAAACACCUUGUGCUCUUCGUCUAGGUCAACAACUUUUCUGUUAUGUGAUGGAUUUGUCCAAGAGGUGCGUGUGAGCAAUAAGAGAUUAGGCAUAAAAACCGAAAGAACUGCGAAUGCUGUAAA